UAUAGCAGAGAAAGAAGUAAAUACCCUUAUACAGCUGCUCGAUUCACCCAGGCAUAUGUCUAUAUGCAUAGAUCGCACACAGGGUCAAACUAUGGCAAACACAUUCUAGUGUAAACAAGUCUGGGCAUAAUAGAGUAUAAUUUAGGGGAGUAACACACUUAAAGUGUCGAAAAAAUAGAAAAGCUGGAUAAAACUGUAGAAAUUUGAAAUUGCUGGAGAUUUUUUGCCUAGGCUGUUUUGCUUACAUGCUUCAAAAAACUGCCAAUGAGGAAAAACUGGAAGGUUGGCAACUCAAGUCAACCGCAAGCGAUCGGUUACGUAUUACUAAGGCCAUCUACACACUAGGCAACCUAAGUUGGAAAGCAACUUAACGAAUCUGUCAAAAAAGUUGAGAACAUGUGUAAUCAAAUGGGAGCAUACACACUAGGCAACUGGCAACUUUGGUCGGACCAACUUUUUCGAUUCAACUCAGCAUGUCGAGUCGCGCGCGAUUUGUGUCGGCAACCUUUUCGUUCAAUUGCUGUUGACGUUUUGAUUUCUGCGUUCAUUGAAUUUCAAUAUCUGUCAGUGGUGAUGCAAAACAGUGUUUACAAUAUUGGCGCAUCUGUUUCUAUGAACGAACGAGAUGAAAUGCCAUCAAUAUGCAAGUUCUCUUGAUAUACCGUCCGGGAAGAGUGCUGAAUUGGUCAAGGAUGCGUAUAAUAUUGGAGAUUGAGCAAGAAGCACAGAAUCCGCUGGAUGUGUUUUUUCCAAGUUAACAGCAAUUGUUGUUGUCUGUUGUUAUCAGCGAGCCGAAAUAAGUAUGUUAGAUAGCCUAAGAUUGGAUAAUUCUGGUCAGAUUUCCCGGGAAACCGUUAUCAUCCCUGAUUCUCGAUUGUACCAUGUGCGAAGGUGCGGUCUGCGAAUAUGUGACCCCUGGGAGAAUUUUUCAUAUUUAGCGUUAGUGUAUACAUAAAUCAUUGUUUAGAAGAAUUGUUGAAAAUUUUUCUGUUUUCCUUAUAUAAUUCUAUUCGGCUGUAUUCUUAUUUCAAUGAUUUUUUUAUGUUUGUAAAUAUUGUUUGCUGGUUUGUGGUAUUACUCCAACGAAAAAUAAAUAUAUACAUCCAUUUUUUAGAAAUAUUUAGAAUUUAGAAAAAAAGCAGAACCCAAAAGAAAUUCUGAAAUCUAUUGUACACACGAAGGAAUAUCAACACAACGGUACAUUUUUUAAAUAAAAAUGGUAUUAUUGUUUGAUAUAUGAGAUGAAACACCUUCGAAAAAAGUACAUCCAGGAAUGCCAGAUAAGCAGAUUUUUUUUCUGCUAUAGUGUAAAUUGUAUUUCAAAUGUGCCCUUUUGAUUCUAUUGUAGUUUUAAGAAGCCGCGUAUGCAUUCAAUUUGAUUCGAUGAUUUGUGAAAUUAAGUUUUUAUUUAUUUUUUCUUUGCCUGGUGUCAAGAAAAAUCCCAAGUAAAGUAGUUUUUUUCAAACCAAUUUUUCAUAAUUUGCUCUCCGUAUGAUUUUUUCGGCAGUUAAAUAAAUGGCAUCUCUGCCAGCGAUUAGGCAGUUUAUGAUGACGGAUAAAAACUUAACGAAUUCAUCGCGUUCGAGUUGUCUCAAUGUGCAGAGCUGAGUUGGCGAUGCGAUUGACAUCGCCA